rnacentral:lncRNA from 1 species
GUUUUAAGAAACCUUGGAAAUGGAGAAAGAAAAUGUUUUCCUGUCUUAGGUCUCUGGAGGAAUUUUCAUGUUGGCCAUCUUCCUAAAGUCCUGCAGUGAAUACCUGGCAAACCAUGAGAGUGAUCCAACUCACAGCAGUGUGGGAAGAAGGUAGUAGGGAGAGAAACCUGAGGCAGACAUUUCUGUGGUCAAGAUAUUCUGGAGGUCUCAUGUGAAGAGACAGAGGAGAGGAGAACACUGACAAUGCUGGUUUGGCAGUGGCAUGAACACACAGUUCAGGGAAGUGAAGGAACAACAUUGACACAGAUCACGUUCCAGGGAUGGCACCCUGCAUGGUGUCUGGAGAAUACCAGGUGCCAGAAACAGUGAUGGGAGAAGGUGGAGCUGCAGUUUUCAUCUCUCACUGUUUCCACAAAACCUCAAUCUGCCAAUCAACCUGAGAAGAUGGAAAUUAUGGAAAUUAAUUAUUAUUUAUCUCAUAAUGAGAUAAAAACAAUGGAACAACAUUAUUUUCCAAAACAAACAAAUAAACCCCCUUGAGGUAAACA